rnacentral:rRNA from 2 species
GCAAGUCGAACGAACUCUGGUAUUGAUUGGUGCUUGCAUCAUGAUUUACAUUUGAGUGAGUGGCGAACUGGUGAGUAACACGUGGGAAACCUGCCCAGAAGCGGGGGAUAACACCUGGAAACAGAUGCUAAUACCGCAUAACAACUUGGACCGCAUGGUCCGAGCUUGAAAGAUGGCUUCGGCUAUCACUUUUGGAUGGUCCCGCGGCGUAUUAGCUAGAUGGUGGGGUAACGGCUCACCAUGGCAAUGAUACGUAGCCGACCUGAGAGGGUAAUCGGCCACAUUGGGACUGAGCACACGGCCCAAACUCCUACGGGAGGCAGCAGUAGGGAAUCUUCCACAAUGGACGAAAGUCUGAUGGAGCAACGCCGCGUGAGUGAAGAAGGGUUUCGGCUCGUAAAACUCUGUUGUUAAAGAAGAACAUAUCUGAGAGUAACUGUUCAGGUAUUGACGGUAUUUAACCAGAAAGCCACGGCUAACUACGUGCCAGCAGCCGCGGUAAUACGUAGGUGGCAAGCGUUGUCCGGAUUUAUUGGGCGUAAAGCGAGCGCAGGCGGUUUUUUAAGUCUGAUGUGAAAGCCUUCGGCUCAACCGAAGAAGUGCAUCGGAAACUGGGAAACUUGAGUGCAGAAGAGGACAGUGGAACUCCAUGUGUAGCGGUGAAAUGCGUAGAUAUAUGGAAGAACACCAGUGGCGAAGGCGGCUGUCUGGUCUGUAACUGACGCUGAGGCUCGAAAGUAUGGGUAGCAAACAGGAUUAGAUACCCUGGUAGUCCAUACCGUAAACGAUGAAUGCUAAGUGUUGGAGGGUUUCCGCCCUUCAGUGCUGCAGCUAACGCAUUAAGCAUUCCGCCUGGGGAGUACGGCCGCAAGGCUGAAACUCAAAGGAAUUGACGGGGGCCCGCACAAGCGGUGGAGCAUGUGGUUUAAUUCGAAGCUACGCGAAGAACCUUACCAGGUCUUGACAUACUAUGCAAAUCUAAGAGAUUAGACGUUCCCUUCGGGGACAUGGAUACAGGUGGUGCAUGGUUGUCGUCAGCUCGUGUCGUGAGAUGUUGGGUUAAGUCCCGCAACGAGCGCAACCCUUAUUAUCAGUUGCCAGCAUUAAGUUGGGCACUCUGGUGAGACUGCCGGUGACAAACCGGAGGAAGGUGGGGAUGACGUCAAAUCAUCAUGCCCCUUAUGACCUGGGCUACACACGUGCUACAAUGGAUGGUACAACGAGUUGCGAACUCGCGAGAGUAAGCUAAUCUCUUAAAGCCAUUCUCAGUUCGGAUUGUAGGCUGCAACUCGCCUACAUGAAGUCGGAAUCGCUAGUAAUCGCGGAUCAGCAUGCCGCGGUGAAUACGUUCCCGGGCCUUGUACACACCGCCCGUCACACCAUGAGAGUUUGUAACACCCAAAGUCGGUGGGG